UGCGCAGGCGGCUUGAUAAGUCAGGGGUGAAAUAUGACGGCUUAACCGUCAAACUGCCCCUGAAACUGUCAGGCUUGAGUCCGGGAGAGGAAGGUGGAAUUCCAGGUGUAGCGGUGAAAUGCGUAAAUAUCUGGAGGAACACCGGUGGCGAAGGCGGCCUUCUGGCCCGGAACUGACGCUCAGGCACGAAAGCAUGGGGAGCGAACG
rnacentral:rRNA from 1 species